rnacentral:rRNA from 1 species
GACGAACGAGGGUGGCGUGCUUAACACAUGCAAGUCGAACGGAAAGGCCCUGCUUUUGUGGGGUGCUCGAGUGGCGAACGGGUGAGUAACACGUGAGUAACCUGCCCUUGACUUUGGGAUAACUUCAGGAAACUGGGGCUAAUACCGGAUAGGAGCUCCUGCUGCAUGGUGGGGGUUGGAAAGUUUCGGCGGUUGGGGAUGGACUCGCGGCUUAUCAGCUUGUUGGUGGGGUAGUGGCUUACCAAGGCUUUGACGGGUAGCCGGCCUGAGAGGGUGACCGGCCACAUUGGGACUGAGAUACGGCCCAGACUCCUACGGGAGGCAGCAGUGGGGUAUAUUGCACAAUGGGCGGAAGCCUGAUGCAGCAACGCCGCGUGCGGGAUGACGGCCUUCGGGUUGUAAACCGCUUUCGCCUGUGACGAAGCGUGAGUGACGGUAAUGGGUAAAGAAGCACCGGCUAACUACGUG